ACCUUCGGGCCUCUUGCCAUCAGAUGUGCCCAGAUGGGAUUAGCUUGUUGGUGAGGUAACGGCUCACCAAGGCGACGAUCCCUAGCUGGUCUGAGAGGAUGACCAGCCACACUGGAACUGAGACACGGUCCAGACUCCUACGGGAGGCAGCAGUGGGGAAUAUUGCACAAUGGGCGCAAGCCUGAUGCAGCCAUGCCGCGUGUAUGAAGAAGGCCUUCGGGUUGUAAAGUACUUUCAGCGGGGAGGAAGGUGUUGUGGUUAAUAACCGCAGCAAUUGACGUUACCCGCAGAAGAAGCACCGGCUAACUCCGUGCCAGCAGCCGCGGUAAUACGGAGGGUGCAAGCGUUAAUCGGAAUUACUGGGCGUAAAGCGCACGCAGGCGGUCUGUCAAGUCGGAUGUGAAAUCCCCGGGCUCAACCUGGGAACUGCAUUCGAAACUGGCAGGCUUGAGUCUUGUAGAGGGGGGUAGAAUUCCAGGUGUAGCGGUGAAAUGCGUAGAGAUCUGGAGGAAUACCGGUGGCGAAGGCGGCCCCCU
rnacentral:rRNA from 1 species